GGCUUAAUGGUUACGGCUUCUGCCUCACAAGCAGAAGGUUCAGGGAUCAAAUCCCGG
rnacentral:tRNA from 1 species